AUCAUUGAGACGUCAUCCUAGGUUAAAUCUAUGCUCAUUGAGACUUCCUUUUGUUUCCCAUCAUUGCGAAUCUGUCACACCCCUGUUUUUUUUUUUUUUUUUUCGAACUUUACAAUUGAUACUCAAAUACAGUAUAAGUGCUCUAAAAAAAAUGAGGAUACAAAAAUUUAAAUGUCGAGUUUCUGCUUGAUUUGGUGCAAAAAGAGAAUAUGCAAAACUUGUUAUAAAGAGUACAUCCUAUAUUAAACUUUAUAACAAUUAGUUAACAAAAUAUGAUUCAUUUUACAAAAGAAACUUGUACUAUGUUAAUUUACAUAUAUAUCAAAACCCCAUGGUUCACUACGGGUAGCCCAUACUACAAGUGUACCUGACAAAUAUUUAUAUUACAU
rnacentral:lncRNA from 1 species